rnacentral:rRNA from 1 species
GACGAACGCUGGCGGCGUGCUUAACACAUGCAAGUCGAACGAAGUGGCGAACGGGUGAGUAACGCGUAAUCAACCUGCCCUUCAGAGGGGGACAACAGUUGGAAACGACUGCUAAUACCGCAUACUGAAGGAGGGGAUUGCGUUGGAUUAGCUGGUUGGAGGGGAAACGGCCUACCAAGGCGAUGAUAAGUAGCCGGCCUGAGAGGUGGAACGGCCACAUUGGGACUGAGACACGGCCCAGACUCCUACGGGAGGCAGCAGUGGGGAAUCUUCCGAAAUGGGCGGAAGUCUGACGGAGCAACGCCGCGUGAGUGAUGACGGCCUUCGGGUUGUAAAGCUCUGUUAAUCGGGACGCGGUACCGGAAUAGAAAGCCACGGCUAACUACGUGCCAGCAGCCGCGGUAAUUC